UAUAGUCCAAGCUCUCCAGGAUAUAGUCCUAGUAGCCCUACAUAUUCACCGACAAGUCCAUCCUACUCCCCUACCUCCCCCAGCUACAGCCCCACCUCCCCCAGCUACAGCCCCACCUCCCCAAGCUACAGCCCGACCUCCCCAAGCUACAGCCCCACCUCACCUGCCUACAGCCCCACCUCACCUGCUUACAGCCCCACCUCUCCGUCCUACAGCCCCACCUCUCCAUCCUACAGCCCGACCUCUCCGUCCUACAGCCCGAGCUCCCCGUCCUACAGCCCAAC
rnacentral:lncRNA from 1 species